UACAGAGGUCUCGAGCGUUGUUCGGAUUUACUGGGCGUAAAGGGAGCGUAGGCGGUUCAGUAUGUCGAAUGUGAAAUCCCACGACUCAACCGUGGAAUGGCAUUCGAAACUGCUGGGCUAGAGUACUGGAGAGGAGAGCGGAAUUCUUGGUGUAGCGGUGAAAUGCGUAGAUAUCAAGAGGAACACCGGUGGCGAAGGCGGCUCACAAAGCCAAGAUUGACGCUGAGGCACGAAAGUGUGGGGAUCAAACAGGAUUAGA
rnacentral:rRNA from 1 species